CUUCUACUCCCUCCGUCCCAAAAUUCUUGUCUUAGGUUUGUUUAGAAAUGAAUGUAUCUAAUACUAAAAUGUGACUAGAUACAUUCAUAUCUACAUAAAUCUAAGACAAGAAUUUUAGGAUGGAGGGAGUACAAA
rnacentral:pre_miRNA from 1 species